rnacentral:tRNA from 1 species
GCCGGGGUGGCGGAAUGGUAGACGCGGUGGUCUCAAACACCACUUGGGUUAAACCAGUGCGGGUUCGAGUCCCGCCCCCGGCA